UGGUGGAGUGAUUUGUCUGGUUAAUUCCGAUAACGAACGAGACCUUAACCUGCUAAAUAGCCAGGCCGGCCUUGGCCGGUCGCCGGCUUCUUAGAGGGACUGUCAGCGUCUAGCUGACGGAAGUUUGAGGCAAUAACA
rnacentral:rRNA from 1 species